UACGGUGGGGGCAAGCGUUGUUCGGAAUUACUGGGCGUAAAGGGCUCGUAGGCGGCCAACUAAGUCAGACGUGAAAUCCCUCGGCUUAACUGGGGAACUGCGUCUGAUACUGGAUGGCUUGGAUUCGGGAGAGGAAUGCGGAAUUCCAGGUGUAGCGGUGAAAUGCGUAGAUAUCUGGAGGAACACCGGUGGCGAAGGCGGCAUUCUGGACCGACAUUGACGCUGAGGAGCGAAAGCCAGGGGAGCAAACGGG
rnacentral:rRNA from 1 species